rnacentral:rRNA from 1 species
GGCGAACGGGUGAGUAACACGUGGGUAACCUGCCCUCAUCUCUGGGAUAACCGUUGGAAACGGCGGCUAAUACCGGAUACGACCUGGCUCCGCAUGGUGCUGGGUGGAAAGUUUUUGCGGUUGGGGAGGGGCCCGCGGCCUAUCAGCUUGUUGGUGCGGUAGUGGCGCACCAAGGCUUUGACGGGUAGCCGGCCUGAGAGGGCGGUCGGUCACAUUGGGACUGAGAUACGGCCCAGACUCCUACGGGAGGCAGCAGUGGGGAAUUUUGCACAAUGGGCGAAAGCCUGAUGCAGCGACGCCGCGUGAGGGAUGACGGCUUUCGGGUUGUAAACCUCUUUUAUCCACCACGAAGGCCCCGUAUUCGCGGGGUUGACGGUAGUGGUUGAAUAAGCGCCGGCUAACUACGUGCCAGCAGCCGCGGUAAGACGUAGGGCGCGAGCGUUGUCCGGAUUUAUUGGGCGUAGAGGGCUCGUAGGCGGUUGAUUGCGUCCGCCGUGAAAGGCCUCGGCUUAACCGGGGUUUUGCGGUGGAUACGGGUCGACUUGAGGCAAUUAGGGGAGAUCGGAAUUCUACGUGUAGCGGUGAAAUGCGCAGAUAUGUGGAGGAACACCGGUGGCGAAGGCGGAUCUCUGGGAUUGUUCUGACGCUGAGGAGCGAAAGCGUGGGGAGCGAACAGGAUUAGAUACCCUGGGUAGUCC